rnacentral:rRNA from 1 species
GAAGAUGAAACGGUCGAUUGGGACUAAGUCGUAACAAGGUAACUGUAGGUGAACCUGCAGAAGGAUCA